UCCAGAGGGGGCAAGCGUUGUUCGGAAUUACUGGGCGUAAAGGGCUCGUAGGCGGCCAACUAAGUCAGACGUGAAAUCCCUCGGCUUAACCGGGGAACUGCGUCUGAUACUGGAUGGCUUGAGGUUGGGAGAGGGAUGCGGAAUUCCAGGUGUAGCGGUGAAAUGCGUAGAUAUCUGGAGGAACACCGGUGGCGAAGGCGGCAUCCUGGACCAAUUCUGACGCUGAGUGAGCGAAAGCCAGGGGAGCAAACGGG
rnacentral:rRNA from 1 species